CCAAAUCCUCUAAUUUUUGCACUCAAAUUGUACUCCAAAUCCUAAACUUUAUAAUCCUAGCUUGUAAUCUCCAAAUGCCCUUGAAAGGAGAAUCCUAAUCCCUAAUAAGGCCUCGGGCAGCCUCCUUGAAGCCCAUUGGGCAUGAUAUUCGACCAAUAGGGAUGAAGUUUCUCAUUCUUUGCCUUCAUCCGACCAUGCCUUACUUUCAUCCCUC
rnacentral:lncRNA from 1 species